rnacentral:rRNA from 1 species
CGUGUAGGCGGGAAAGUAAGUCAGAUGUGAAAGCCCAGAGCUUAACUUUGGGAUUGCAUCUGAAACUACUUUUCUUGAGUACUGGAGAGGGAAGCGGAAUUCCUAGUGUAGCGGUGAAAUGCGUAGAUAUUAGGAGGAACACCAGUGGCGAAGGCGGCUUCCUGGACAGAGACUGACGCUGAGACGCGAAAGCGUGGGGAGCAAACAGGAUUAGAUACCCUGGUAGUC